GAGGGGUAGGUAGUGUUAGUACUUGAUGUUCAUUGGUGUGUGUGUGUACAUGUUUAUGUGUGUUGAAUGCAUACUGCUUGUAGGUUAUCUUGAUAGAGGGGUAGUUAAUGUUAGUACUUGAUGUUCAUUGGUGUGUGUGUGUACAUGUUUAUGAAUGCAUACUGCUUGUAGGUUAUCUUGAUAGAGGGGUAGGUAAUGUUAGUACUUGAUGUUCAUUGGUGUGUGUACAUGUUUAUGUGUGUUGAAUGUGUACUGCUUGUAGGUUAUCUUGAUAGAGGGGUAGGUAAUGUUAGUACUUGAUGUUCAUUGGUGUGUGUACAUGUUUAUGUGUGUUGAAUGUGUACUGCUUGUAGGUUAUCUUGAUAGAGGGGUAGUUAAUGUUAGUACUUGAUGUUCAUUGGUGUGUGUACAUGUUUAUGUGUGUUGAAUGUGUACUGCUUGUAGGUUAUCUUGAUAGAGGGGUAGUUAAUGUUAGUACUUGAUGUUCAUUGGUGUGUGUGUGUACAUGUUUAUGUGUGUUGAAUGUGUACUGCUUGUAGGUUAUCUUGAUAGAGGGGUAGUUAAUGUUAGUACUUGAUGUUCAUUGGUGUGUGGGUGGUUUUGCCUGAGGACUGUACAGUGCUACUAUGUUACAUUCUCUGACCGUUGCUUGUUAAUUCCUCUUUGGAUUCACAACACCCCUUUAUGGUAGAAUGGAGUAGGAGGUGUAGUGAGAGAUGCUGUAACUUCAUGUUCUGACCC
ensembl:lncRNA